AGAAUCAACGCUGGCGGCGUGCCUAACACAUGCAAGUCGAACGAGAAAGUGGAGCAAUCCAUGAGUAAAGUGGCGCACGGGUGAGUAACACGUGACUAACCUACCCUGGAGUGGGGGAUAACUGAGGGAAACCUUAGCUAAUACCGCAUAAUACCUACGGGUCAAAGGAGCAAUUCGCUUCAGGAGGGGGUCGCGGCCGAUUAGUUAGUUGGCGGGGUAAUGGCCCACCAAGACAGUGAUCGGUAUCCGGCCUGAGAGGGCGCACGGACACACUGGAACUGAAACACGGUCCAGACUCCUACGGGAGGCAGCAGUGGGGAAUUUGCGCAAUGGGGGAAACCCUGACGCAGCAACGCCGCGUGGAGGAUGAAGUCCUUCGGGACGUAAACUCCUUUCGAUCGGGACGAUUAUGACGGUACCGGAAGAAGAAGCCCCGGCUAACUUCGUGCCAGCAGCCGC
rnacentral:rRNA from 1 species